AUAUGCUGUUCAGUUCAUCCAUCCAGUGAAAUUAUGCAACCAGAUAUCUUACCCAGAUGGGCUGUGAUUGGUUGGCUAUUGACGUCGUGCAGGAAGAGUUAUGUCCAAGCAAACUUGAAGCUCGCAUUGUUUUAUGAUUGGCUUUUCUAUGAUGAAACCACUGAUAAUGUAAUGAACAUUGAGCCUGCAAUUCUUUUGAUGGUGAACUCUAUACCCAAUUAUAUUGAAGUUACCCGUACUCUUCUCGAGUUCCUACUAAUUGUGGUUGACAACUAUGAUAUUGAGAGGAAGGAGAU
rnacentral:misc_RNA from 1 species